GAUGAACGCUGGCGGCGUGCCUAACACAUGCAAGUCGCGGGAGAAGUGCCUUCGGGCGCGGAAACCGGCGCACGGGUGAGUAACACGUAGCUUAUUUACCCCUUAGAGGUGGAUAACCCUUGGAAACAGAGGCUAAUACACCAUAAGCUCACGACCUCUAGAGGGUUGCGAGAAAAGUUCAGGCGCUAAGGGAUGAGGCUGCGAGCCAUCAGCUAGUUGGUGCGGUAAAGGCGUACCAAGGCGACGACGGCUAGGGGACCUGAGAGGGUGACCAGCCACACUGGGACUGAGACACGGCCCAGACUCCUACGGGAGGCAGCAGUGGGGAAUAUUGGACAAUGGGCGCAAGCCUGAUCCAGCGAUGCCGCGUGUGUGAAGAAGGCC
rnacentral:rRNA from 1 species